rnacentral:lncRNA from 1 species
GUGUGAACUUCUCUUCUGUGUUCUAAUUCUCAUUUUCGAAGCUAACACAGGUGUUUACAAAAAUCUGGGUUUUUUUUGGAAGGGGUGAAACAAUGGCAUGAUCUCCUUUUGCUAAUUUGAGCAGAGGCGCAUGAAAAGUUGGAUGCAUUUGUGCAUCAUCAAGUUUAUGUUCAACUGUUGCGCAUACUCCAGCAUACCAGGAAAUAUGAUGUCAAAACCAAAGGGAGAUGGUUGACUUUUGUCCGUAGCUGAAGCAAGAUUCGACUCGAUAAAACGUAGACCUACAACAAGAGUCGACUAUUUAAUGAAUGAACUAUAACACUUGAAAGACAGCAAGCAAAAAACCGCAUACCUUUAUUAAUUUGGUCUUCCCCAACAUUCCAUCGUUUUAAUGCAACAAUACAUGCUAACGUUGAAGAGAGGGAAUCUUUAAGUAACGGAUGAGUACUACUGUGAUUAACGAGACCCCAUGAACCAUCAUCGAGCUGGUUAUCAACUAACCAGUUAAGACACUCGGGGAAACAAGGGGAUUUGGGUGAGCUUGGAGAAGGGACCAUGGCUACCCAGGCUGUGUCGUAUGAAGAAACCGAAAGGUCCACAUUGUUGAACAGUUUUCGGAUUCUUUCUUUUGUUGUAUCAAUGGCCUGCAUAAAAAUUCAGUUUAUUAUUAUUAUAAAUACAAAAAUAAGUGACUGCAAUAAGUUAUACCAGAUUGGUGGGAUUAGCUUGUCCAACAUGAGAUGGUGCUGCUCAAACACAAAACUUGAAUCAAUACAGGAAAUAAAGAAGAGCAACAUGACAUGUAGACAAAGUGCAAAAGGAUGCAGAUUUGUACCUGUAUGAAUAGCUGACAGAGCCCAUGAUCGAUACGGUUUGGUAAUUGACAAAGGGCCAGUCAUGCUUUGUGUAAUUGUAAUGUUCAUUGAUGUUUCGUUUACUAAAAUUCGUUUAUUAUUUCCUGCUUCAGUUG